UACGGAGGGUGCAAGCGUUGUUCGGAAUCACUGGGCGUAAAGGGCGUGUAGGCGGUCCGCUAAGUCUGAUGUGAAAGCCCGAGGCUUACCCUCGGAAGUGCAUUGGAGGCUGGCGGACUGGAGUCCCGGAGAGGAGGGUGGAAUUCCUGGUGUAGCGGUGAAAUGCGUAGAUAUCAGGAGGAACACCGGUGGCGAAGGCGGCCCUCUGGACGGUGACUGACGCUGAGACGCGAAAGCGUGGGGAGCAAACAGG
rnacentral:rRNA from 1 species